rnacentral:rRNA from 1 species
UACGUAGGGGGCAAGCGUUGUCCGGAAUUACUGGGCGUAAAGCGCGCGUAGGCGGCUGACUAAGUCGGGUGUGAAAGCCCCGGGCUCAACCUGGGAAUUGCAUUCGAUACUGGUUGGCUGGAGUCUGGUAGAGGGGUGUGGAAUUCCAGGUGUAGCGGUGAAAUGCGUAGAUAUCUGGAGGAACAUCAGUGGCGAAGGCGGCACCCUGGACCAAGACUGACGCUGAGGUGCGAAAGCGUGGGUAGCAAACAGGAUUAGAUACCCUGGUAGUCCACGCCGUAAACGAUGAGAACUAGCCGUUGGGCGGAUUAGCCUCUUAGUGGCGAAGCUAACGCGAUAAGUUCUCCGCCUGGGGAGUACGGCCGCAAGGUUAAA